UCGCUAUUCUGUUUGUUGCAUUUUCAGAUGAAAUAUGAGAAAUAUCUUAUGGCAUCAGCUUACAAAACAGAUUGAAACAAUUUGAAAUUCACCUAUCUGAUGUAUCUCCCAAGCCGAAAAUUUUGUUCAUCUGAAGAGCAAGAAUGUUCAUUAUACCCACAACGAAUUGCUUGUUGCCCAACCAUGGAUUAGUCAACUGGAGAAUCAACUGAUCUUUCACUUCCCUGAGGCAUCAAAUGUGAAGGUCUGUUUCAAGGGCCCUUUGGAUGAAGAGUGCAUUAUCUUUCUGCAUCUGUUAAAUGUGUCUCUGAGUUCCAGAAAGGCAAAGGGCCUCCUACUCCCUCUUUUCUGCCAAAAUCUACAACUGCCUACACUUUUCCUAUUAAAGCUGCUUGUUUCCUAUGACAACGCCUGCAAGUAUGUUUUGUGAAUAUAAAAUCAUACUACAAUACUGGAUAAGGACAUUUAGACUGAGUGUUAAAGCGAACAUUUUCAUUUAAUGUGAAAUGAUAUCAUGAGUACAUUCCAUAUCUUAACUCAGUGGUGCAUUUUUGCCAUUUCUGGUAUUUUUUAUGACUGCUUUGUCACAAGGUUUUGUUCUCUUUCAAGUGUCACAAGGAAGACCUCAUGUUGUUAACAUUGUGAUUGCUACUACUUCAUUUUGUCUACAUGUAAUACACUGAAUGUACCGAAAGAACAACUUAUCUCUUGUUGUGUGAAUUGGGGGCAUAGUUUUAAAAAAUUAAAAUCAAAAAUUAUAUCAG
rnacentral:lncRNA from 11 species